rnacentral:misc_RNA from 1 species
AAGUCGUAACAAGGUUUCCGUAGGUGAACCUGCGGAAGGAUCAUUACCAAAUUCAUGAACAAUAAGGUCUUUUGUAAAAGAAAGUAACCUUUAUUGUUUUUUUUAAACCCCAUUGUGAAUUGUUGUAAACGUUUUUUUUUGCAAAGUCUUUUUUUUUUAAUAAUUGUUGAAAGACAUUAUUUAAAAGACUUUGCAUAUUUAUUAAACACAAGUUUUGGUUUCUGUUGGAAUAAAGUUGAAAUUAAUAAAAAAAAACAACUUUUAACGGUGGAUCUCUUGGCUCGU